CAGCAGCCGCGGGAAUACGGAGGGUGCAAGCGUUAAUCGGAAUUACUGGGCGUAAAGCGUGCGUAGGCGGCUUCUUAAGUCGGAUGUGAAAUCCCUGAGCUUAACUUAGGAAUUGCAUUCGAUACUGGGAAGCUAGAGUAUGGGAGAGGAUGGUAGAAUUCCAGGUGUAGCGGUGAAAUGCGUAGAGAUCUGGAGGAAUACCGAUGGCGAAGGCAGCCAUCUGGCCUAAUACUGACGCUGAGGUACGAAAGCAUGGGGAGCAAACAGGAUUAGAUACCCCGGUAGUCCCUGUCUCUUAUAC
rnacentral:rRNA from 1 species